CCGCUAAACAUAUGGCCUUUUUUUAAAUUUCCCUCAUUUUAGUUUUCCUUCAGACCGGAACAUUCUCAUCACUUCUCUCUCCCUCUCGCUCCCUCUCCCUCUCUCACAAUUUUAGGAUUCUCUUUUUUUUUUUGGAAGCAAUUUUAGGAUUCUCUUUCACUGGACCAUUCAAGAGCUCUAGCUCCUUGUUUGCUAGAAGACUAUUGCUCGAGCCCUAUUAAUUCAAAGUUGAAUGCUCAGUGACAGUCCCAAGUGAUUGCUCAGGGAAUCAAUGCCGGAGAUAUUAAUAAGUUUGAAGACGCUGGGAUCUACACCUGCAAUGGCUUGAUGAUGCAUAUGAAGAAGAACUUGACUGGAAUCAAAGGUUUAUCUGAGGCUAAAGUUGAUAAGAUAUGCGAAGCUGCUGAAAACCAUUUCAGCUAAGAGAUUUUAUUUCUCAUAUGUGUUCCUUCAUUGUAAGCAUUUAUGUUGCUGAAAUGUUCAGAGACAAAUUCAACUUGUUAUUCAUAGUUUGAGAGAGGCUCUAGAUGGCGCUGACAGGUUCCAGAAUACCCAUCAAAGGCAACAAUUUCAAUAUGCAGAAUUUAGUAUAGAUCAGUGAGUUAUGGCUAUAAGGCUAAGCAUAUCUUGGCUAGGUUGUAUUCAUUCUAGAGUCGCAAAGAAAAAACUUCUUUUGGAUGAUAUGGCAGCAGAGGAAACAUUAGAGGUGGCCAUUGCCGCAGAUCAAGUGGCUGCUUGAACAAUGGACCCUUUUACUCACCAGCCUUUGUCCAGAGAUUUUGUCACAUGCUUUUGAUCAGGCUUCCUCACCAAGUAACCCUCAGUUUGCAUUUGGGAGCUUGUUGACAAGGCUAAAAUGGAAAGAGAUGAAUUGAGGAGGUGGGGAGUGUUGUGGUGGCUUUGUGGUAGUCUUCCAUAAAAUUUAUGGAUUAGUUGGUGGCAUGGCAUCUCUCAGUGCAUCUGUCCGAUAUAGUUAUCCUCUUUGGCCUGCAGGGGCAGUUAAAGUUAUAUGCAAGUCAAUUUGGUGUUCUGUUGUGUUUUGAAUUUGAAUUGUAGCAUGAACUGGGAUGCAGUUUUUGCUCUAGGAUUGAAGUGAUUUGGAUUCCACAAUUCUUGACUCUUUGUUUCUGAUUUAUUAUGACGUCAUUUUCUCUGAUUGAAAAGACAAUGAUGGAAGAAAUAUUAGUUUGGGCAUCA